rnacentral:lncRNA from 1 species
AAUAUCUCGUCAUGGACUGUGCCCCGCUCGAGCCUCUCCACAGGCAGCCGGAAGGAAAGUGGAGGGAGCUGCUCCUUUCCGUAGCCGGGGUGCCCACCCCAACCAGGCUGCCUCUGCCACCCAAGACAGAGGUUCUCUGAUAAUAAUUUGUGGGGCUUGUUUCCAGAGACCACACCUGAAGCUGCCAACUCCCCGGAGGGAAGGUCCUGAUUAAUGGCCGAUGAAUUUCUCCUUAAGGCCCUGAAACUGCCUACUCAGAACCAAGCCAGUUUUUCCUGCCUGUCCUGUUUGGGCAGGCAGAGGAGGCAGCUAGAAACCCAUUAUGCAGGGGAUGGGGACCAAACCAAUGCACAACUCCUACGUACUGAUGGUGGUCUUACGUUUCCCUAAGUUUCUGCCGACUAAACUGUGCACACGUUCUCAGGACCUCCUGAAGCUGCGUCACAGGCGCUGAUCAAAGAACACAACCAAGAGUUUGGCCUUUUCUUCAGCACUGGGAAUUGUGAUCCAAAGCUUUUCCUGAUGAGGCACAAAGUUGGAGAAACAAAACGCAAACUAAGCAACAAUGAAACAGAACAGAGUGAAUCUGCUGUAGCUCAAGAGAGGACGUAGCUGCCCCCACCCCGCAUCCCCGGGCUCGGGUUUGCCUUGCUGACCUCUGCUGCCACCUGGUGCCGCACAGAGAAACUGAGGAGAAACCACAUCAGUCUCCUUCAGCCUCAGCUUCACAUCUGUGGGUCAAGCAACCCUUUCAGAAGCUGAAUAAUGUGGGAAAGCUUUCCUCUCAGGAAAAUGCACACAUCCAACUUUGAGAAGAUGCCCUUGGGGGCGCUUCAAGGAUC